UCGUUUCACAGACCGCGUCUCCAUCUCCCUCUCUCAAUCUCCCUCCCCCGAUCUCAACCCUCCCUCGAUCUCCAUCUCACUCUCCCUCUCCCUCGAUCUCCUUCUCCCUCGAUUUCCCUCUCCCUCUUCCGAUCUCGACCCGCUCUCUCUCUCUCUCCCUCUCCCUCUCCCUCUCCCUCUCCCUCUCCCUCGAUCUCCCUCCCACUCUCCGAAGGAAAUGCUGGGCAGCCACGGUGCCGGAUCUGGAGAUUCAUCGGGUUCCGGGGUGUGGCCGCGCUCAUCCUCGGUGUCGCCAUCUUGCUGUCGGUGAUCUUCUAGCUACCACUGUUCUUGAGAGCUGAUCAGGGGCGUCUGAGCCUGGAAGAAGGUGAAGGCUGGUUCUGUUUACAACAAUAUUCUGAUUUGUGAUGAUCCAGAGUAUGCAAAACAGGUUGUGGAGGAGACAUGGGCCAAAAAUAAGGAGGCUGAGAAAGAGGACUUUGAGGAAGCAGAGAAAGUGAGACGAGCUCAAGAAGAAGAGGAAUCUCGAAGGGCGAGAGAGGAAGGUGAACGGCAGAGAAAGGAGAGUGGUUGUGACCAGUAUUACCGAGAAAAGGAGUGCUACAAUGUGGAAUUGUCCCUAAUCGGUGGUACCCAAUGUGGUACCACCAUAGGUUCUGAAUAUCAGUAUUGAGUGUGUAUUGUCUGACCAGUGACUCAACCAAUCUUCAUAGGGUGCAUUGCACACUAAAUCUGAAAAAGGAAAUUAUUUUCUGAUACUGGGGUUCUUACCUGCGGAUUGUUGAAUAUUAGAAGUCUCCAUUUGCAUUGGAUUCUUCAGUUUCCAUUUACUGCUAGUGUUAUAAGUCUUAGGCUUCAUUUGGUCAUCACAUCAAUCUUUAUGAACAUAAUUUUUUUCUCAAACCAAAAGGAGCUUAAGCCCUUUUUUAACUCCGCCAAUGCAACUUCUUGCAUUGCCGGUCCCAAGCCCGGGUAAAGGAGGAGGGAGAAGGGCGUCAAGGUGAGUUAUGUCCUUUUAUUCACAACAAAUAUGUCCCUUUGAAAUAUGUAUGUUUCAGGAUGAGUUGUUGUGUCAUUUUCUCCACUAGAAUGCAGGACCAUUUUAUGAAUGGGUAGGAGCAGGACUAACCAGUGUCAAAAUAGUAGGAUUCAACAAUGGAACCCUUGACUUGUCAUCUAGUAGAUGGAUCUUACAUGGUAACCACAAAGAUCGUGUACAUCCAUUUAGUUUUUGUUACUGUAAUUUCUAGGGUCCUGAUGUUUCCUUUAUGUGUGUGUGUUGACUGGGACGUCAAAGUUUCUGAUCGAUUCUUUCAAUGAUGUAAUGAUUUGUACUGAUUUCCAGUGAUUUCCAGUAAUGAUCAGUCACUUUCUCUGUAGUUAAAGAGAUUUCUUAGUUUCUGGGCUCUUGUUUUUCUUGUGGUUCAUCUUGUGGUUCUCUUAGUUUAGGCUUGACUUGUGUUUAUGGUGCAAGUUCAAGCAUAUAUUCAGCUGAACUGCAGCAGGUGCAGCCCCAGAACUGCAGCAGGUGGAAUCCCCUAUUGUUUAUGAUGCUUACAAGCUUCUUGCUGUGCCUUCUCCAAUUGGUGGUAUUCUUAUAAUCUGUGCAAAUACUAUUCUUAGUUUAUUUGGUUAUUUUAUGUUUGAGGUUAAAGUGCUUGUAUACAUGCGUGAUGUCUCACUGACCUUAGGAUAUUUUUCUUCCUCUUGCUUUGGCAGUUAGUAUCUUGUGCUCUUGACCUGAACAAUUUUUCUGUUCCUAGUGAAAACAAUUGCAACACAAUUAUAUUUUGGAAAAUUAUCCUGUUGGGAGGGAUGGUGUUGUGCAGUUUGGAUUUGUUGGGAGUCCAGAAACAUGCACAUCAAUAAUUUUAUGCAUCUUAUAUUAUUCUUUUAUUCCAUGCAGACUGAAAGGAAUGUUGAUAUGUUGCUCCAUGGUAAAAAGCCCAUGGUUGAGGUAAUGAUAUCAAAAGCUCCGUACCCAUCACAACUUUAAGCAUUUACUUCCAACAUAUGACUAGUUUUAGUUGUUGAAUAGUCACUCUUUUACGUGUUUAGUUUUUGAAUCUUUAUGUUGUUUUUUGGCUAAUCAAAUUGCUUACGGUCUUGUUUUAGCACUGCCACAAACACUCCAUCAGUUUAAACAAUAAUUCACAACAAUACCACAACUUUUAUUAAUGUUUGUGAGGCAUCUGUUCUACUGUAUUUACUCAUCUUUUAUUUCUGUUCCCUUUUUUUUGAAUUUGAGUUUUUAUUUUUAUUGACUACGGAUCAGAUGAUGCCAUACCCUAAUGUAACUGGAACAAGAUGAGAGCUGACUCCAAAUAGUUGGUUCUCAUGGAUGUUAAUGCAGAUGGCUGGUCAUAUCGCAUGACACGACUUCUAGAUGAGCGUGAUCUGGUGGUUUUGACAUAUGUUAUGAGCCUUCUAGUUGCUUUAGUUUCAAAAAACCAUAAAGAAAUUGGAUGUUCCACAAGAAUCACCUACUACGAGAUCCCAUCACCAUGGCUUCAGGGUUGUCUAGAGAUAUGAACUUUCAAAGUCUAAAGCUUCAGUUUUGACAUCGUUGUUUGGGAGAUGGUCUUCAAGUGCAAUAUAGUUGUGGAACUACAACAACGCCUUCUGGUCAUGUAAAGGAUGGGGUGCAUACUGGAUAUGGUGUCUGUUACUUCAUUUUGAAAUGUUGGCUGUCACAAGACUCA